rnacentral:rRNA from 1 species
UAGCUAGUUGGUGAGGUAAAGGCUCACCAAGGCGACGAUCCGUAGCUGGUCUGAGAGGACGACCAGCCACACUGGAACUGAGACACGGUCCAGACUCCUACGGGAGGCAGCAGUGGGGAAUAUUGCGCAAUGGGCGAAAGCCUGACGCAGCGACGCCGCGUGGGGGAUGACGGCCUUCGGGUUGUAAACCUCUUUCAGCAGGGACGAAGUUGACGUGUACCUGCAGAAGAAGCGCCGGCUAACUACGUGCCAGCAGCCGCGGUAAUACGUAGGGCGCAAGCGUUGUCCGGAAUUAUUGGGCGUAAAGAGCUCGUAGGUGGCUUGUCACGUCGGGUGUGAAAGCUUGGGGCUUAACUCCAGGUCUGCAUUCGAUACGGGCUGGCUAGAGGUAGGUAGGGGAGAACGGAAUUCCUGGUGUAGCGGUGAAAUGCGCAGAUAUCAGGAGGAACACCGGUGGCGAAGGCGUUCUCUGGGCCUUACCUGACGCUGAGGAGCGAAAGCGUGGGGAGCGAACAGGAUUAGAUACCCUGGUAGUCCACGCUGUAAACGUUGGGCGCUAGGUGUGGGGACCUUCCACGGUUUCCGCGCCGUAGCUAACGCAUUAAGCGCCCCGCCUGGGGAGUACGGCCGCAAGGCUAAAACUCAAAGGAAUUGACGGGGGCCCGCACAAGCGGCGGAGCAUGUUGCUUAAUUCGACGCAACGCGAAGAACCUUACCAAGGCUUGACAUUGCCCGGAAACACUCAGAGAUGGGUGCCUCUUCGGAUCGGGUGACAGGUGGUGCAUGACUGUCGUCAGCUCGUGUCGUGAGAUGUUGGGUUAAGUCCCGCAACGAGCGCAACCCUUGUUCAAUGUUGCCAGCACGCUCCUUCGGGGGUGGUGGGGACUCAUUGGAGACUGCCGGGGUCAACUCGGAGGAAGGUGGGGAUGACGUCAAGUCAUCAUGCCCCUUAUGUCUUGGGCUGCAAACAUGCUACAAUGGCCGGUACAGAGGGCUGCGAUACCGCAAGGUGGAGCGAAUCCCUAAAAGCCGGUCUCAGUUCGGAUUGGGGUCUGCAACUCGACCCCAUGAAGUCGGAGUCGCUAGUAAUCGCAGAUCAGCAACGCUGCGGUGAAUACGUUCCCGGGCCUUGUACACACCCCCGUCACGUCACGAAAGUCGGCAACACCCGAAGCCCGUGGCCCAACCAGCUUGCUGGGGGGAGCGGUCGAAGGUGGGGCUGGCGAUUGGGACGAAGUCGUAACAAGGUAGCCGUACCGGAAGGUGCGGCUG